GCCAGCCUGGCCGACGUGGUCAAGGCACCUGUUUGAAGAACAGGCAAUCCAGGUUCGAUCCCUGGGGCUGGCACCA
rnacentral:tRNA from 1 species